GACGAACGCUGGCGGCGUGCUUAACACAUGCAAGUCGAACGGUGAAGCUCCAGCCUGCUGGAGUGGAUCAGUGGCGAGCGGGUGAGUAACACGUGAGCGCCCUGCCCCUGACUCUGGCAUAUGCGCUGGAAACGGCGUAUCAUAUACGAUAUGAGAAGGAACCGCAUGGGCACUUUCUGGAAAGUUUUUCGGAUGGGGCUAGGUUCGCGGCCUAUCAGCUUGUUGGUGAGGUUCUGGCUGCCGACGGCGACGACGGGUAGCCGGCCUGAGAGGGCGACCGGGCACAAGAGGACUAAGGCAGGGGCCAGACUCCAACGGGGGGCAGCAGUGGGAAAUAUUGCACAAUGAGCGAAAGCCUGGUGCAACGACUCCGCGUGAGGAAUCACUGCCUUCGGGUUGUAAACCGCUUUCAGCAAAGAAGAAGCGAAAGUGACGGUACCUUCAGAAGAAGCACCGGCUAACUACGUG
rnacentral:rRNA from 1 species